AUUGAACGCUGGCGGCAUGCUUUACACAUGCAAGUCGAGCGGCAGCGCGGGGGCAACCCUGGCGGCGAGCGGCGAACGGGUGAGUAAUGCAUCGGAACGUAUCCUCGAGUGGGGGAUAACCCAGCGAAAGUUGGGCUAAUACCGCAUGAGCUCUGAGGAGGAAAGCGGGGGACCUGCGAGGGCCUCGCGCUGGAGGAGCGGCCGAUGUCCGAUUAGCUAGUUGGUGGGGUAAAGGCUUACCAAGGCGACGAUCGGUAGCUGGUCUGAGAGGAUGAUCAGCCACACUGGGACUGAGACACGGCCCAGACUCCUACGGGAGGCAGCAGUGGGGAAUUUUGGACAGUGGGGGCAACCCUGAUCCAGCCAUGCCGCGUGAGUGAAGAAGGCCUUCGGGUUGUAAAGCUCUUUCGGACGGAACGAAAUGGGCGGGACUAAUACUCCUGUCUGAUGACGGUACCGUAAGAAGAAGCACCGGCUAACUACGUG
rnacentral:rRNA from 1 species